rnacentral:rRNA from 1 species
UACGGAAGGUGCAAGCGUUAAUCGGAAUUACUGGGCGUAAAGCGCGCGUAGGCGGCUUGGUAAGUCGGGUGUGAAAGCCCCGGGCUCAACCUGGGAACUGCACUCGAUACUGCCGGGCUAGAGUACGAGAGAGGGGGGUGGAAUUCCAGGUGUAGCGGUGAAAUGCGUAGAGAUCUGGAGGAACACCGGUGGCGAAGGCGGCCCCUGGGCUAACACUGACGCUCAUGCACGAAAGCGUGGGGAGCGAACAGGAUUAGAAACCCUUGUAGU